GACGAACGCUGGCGGCGUGCUUAACACAUGCAAGUCGAACGGUAAGGCCCUUCGGGGUACACGAGUGGCGAACGGGUGAGUAACACGUGGGUGAUCUGCCCUGCACUUCGGGAUAAGCCUGGGAAACUGGGUCUAAUACCGGAUAGGACCACUGCCUGCAUGGGUGGUGGGGGAAAGCUUUUGCGGUGUGGGAUGGGCCCGCGGCCUAUCAGCUUGUUGGUGGGGUGAUGGCCUACCAAGGCGACGACGGGUAGCCGGCCUGAGAGGGUGACCGGCCACACUGGGACUGAGAUACGGCCCAGACUCCUACGGGAGGCAGCAGUGGUGAAUAUUGCACAAUGGGCGCAAGCCUGAUGCAGCGACGCCGCGUGAGGGAUGACGGCCUUCGGGUUGUAAGCCUCUUUCAGCACCGACGAAGCGCAAGUGACGGUAGGUGCAGAAGAAGGACCGGCCAACUACGUGCCAGCCGCCGCCGUAA
rnacentral:rRNA from 1 species